GCUUGUCUCAAAGAUUAAGCCAUGCAUGUCUAAGUAUAACUCUUUUACUUUGAAAACUGCGAACGGCUCAUUAUAUCAGUUAUAGUUUCUUUGAUAGUCCCUUACUACUUGGAUACCCGUAGUAAUUCUAGAGCUAAUACAUGCAUCAAUACCCAACUGUUCGCGGAAGGGUAGUAUUUAUUAGAUAAAAAGCCAAUACACCCUCUGGGUGGUUUGUGGUGAUUCAUAAUAACUGAUCGAAUCGCAUGGCCUCGUGCUGGCGAUAGUUCAUUCAAAUUUCUGCCCUAUCAGCUUUCGACGGUAGUGUAGUGGACUACCGUGGCAUUAACGGGUGACGGAGAAUUAGGGUUCGAUUCCGGAGAGGGAGCCUGAGAAAUGGCUACCACAUCCAAGGAAGGCAGCAGG
rnacentral:rRNA from 1 species